rnacentral:lncRNA from 1 species
UACUUGAACAGGAUCUGUUCUAUAGGCUCGUACCACUGUAUCCUUGAGUUCUAAGGAGACAGAAAACCAAGUCUGGUUGAUGAAGUGUGGCCAUGAGACUAGAGCGUGAUUGACAGCUUUGGUGGCUCUUGGGCCUCUGCGCAGUAGAGGAUCGUUCUCAGGCCUCUCGUAGGUCUGGGGUGGUGUCUUGGCUCUCUGACAGACUACUAAACUUUUUGUUUUUGCUUUCACAAUUUACAAUUCAUCUCCGGUACACUUCCGUUUUGUUUUAUAUUUUAUUUUAUCAUAUAUGGUUACACUCAAAAUGCAAGAUGUGUUAAUGGAUGUGAUAUCCCUUGGAACCCAUGUUGAUCAAAACCUCUGUUUGAUUCUGUUGGUUUCAUUGGUUUUCUUUGGUCAAAACCUCUGUGAUAUCCCUUGGAACCUGUACUUUGUUGAUACUACUUGAUUAUAAAGGCCAAAGACUUUAUUUAGUUCAUUGUAGACAAUGUGUUCGACCAAUGUUCACAAAGACUAUUACAGAGUGAAAUUUAACGACUGAAAGCUGAAGGAUGGCUUUUGUUCUUGUCCUCUGCUUUGGGAAGUCUGGGAAUAUUGAUGGCAAGUUAUAGCUACGGACUCUUUCAUUGUCUCAGGCCCACAAACGAAGACACCAAUGUUGGAUCCCUUGGAUUCAUUAGCAAACUGGGAAAAUAUAUCUGUUUAAUUUUCGACAUAUUAGAAUGCCAAUCGAUUGGAUUGUUUGAAGUUAAAACAAGGACAUGAAUGUAUUUGGCACAUACCUUUAAAGUUUGGCCUUGCUCCAAAAUGGAUUUCAUGUUGAUCAAAACCUCUGUUUGAUUCUGUUGGUUUCAUUGGUUUUCUUUCUUUUUCAGAAAAUGGUGGAAUUUCUUCACUUAGCCUCUUCCAUCUCCAUAAGGUAGCCACUAAGGUGCUGGAUAUUAGUGCUAAUGCAAAUGAGCAUAUGAGAAGAAGGUCCACUAUUGAGGAGGCAGUUUUUUGUUCAGCUGACUUUUUAUUAGGCCUGAUAAUAAUAUGGUUGAAGAUGCUAAGGAAUGCUAGAAAAAUGAUAGAUGCCAACAAAAGGAGGACGGCCAUCCAUCGCAAGUUCUCAAGUCCAUAUACUGCAUGACCAGAACGCUUGUUGGCGAGAUGAAUGGUUUGUAUUUUAGAGACCUCAACUAGCACUUCACGUAGGGAUCUAUUGGAUUGGUGUUCCCGCGUGACAAACACUUUCAGUUUUAGAUAACUUUGUUCUGCAUCAAAAGCGUGCGGUAGAACUGGAUCUAACAAGCAGAUGCUUUGGGAAUCUUUUAUGGUGUAGACAAGCUGUACUUUUACAGGUGAUACAUUUUUGUUACUUCUUGCUGGGGCAAUUUCUUGCAGAAUGCUAAAAAAUGGUGUAACCCCAAUUCCACCUGCAACUAGAAGUAGACUAUCAUAUCUGCAGAAGAUUCAACAAAUAAUUAUAUACGGGGAAAAUAUGAUAGAUAACUUGGUCUAAAAUCAAACAUGAAAUAACAUCAUUUCCUUUACCUUAGAAAAUCCAGUGAUGAAGGUCCAUAAGGGCCUUCUGUUGCUACGUGAAAAAACCUCAUUCCAUCAGCUUCUGCAUCAGGCUUUGAACGUAGCAUAUUAUAGAGAGUGCUGGUCCACCGUCCCUCAGCUUUGAUCAAAAUAGAGAUCGUGUCUUUAUCAACUUUGGAGCUAGAAGUUAUGCUAAAAGGAUGCCAUUGAAAAUUUGAAAUCCUUGGAAUCUUGACAUAAAUCACACUUGUUGGUGUAUACUUCAACCCUGAAAUAGUAUGUUAAGUAGGUUUUAUUUAGGCCCAGUCAAGAAUUAAGAAAGCACCUAAGCUGUUAAAUUGGAGAGAGAUUACUGAUUUUGUACUUGGAUCUUUUGGCAGUGUCAACUCUAUGGCUUUGGAAGGGAAGAUUCGAGCAGAAAGAAUAUACGUUUCUGGCCUUGAUUGAAUUAUUCGGAGUAUCUUGUCAAGGCAAAACAAAAAAAUGCCAGGGAAAACCAUGUAAAAGUGGCGAUCUCCAGCGUGAAGCAGGAAAAAUAGUAUGAACACUAUGUACAAAUGAUGUGUAUAAUAGAAGAUCUCGAAUCGUUUCCUUCUGAUCUGUGGAAGUGAUGUGAUCCAGAUGACCAAUCCUGUAACAAGACUGAUCUCCCCAGCAAGGUAAAUACGCCCUACCUUUUGCCAUCUCCACAUCUAUAAUUUUCCACAAAAAAGGACUUAGUAACAAAGCUUAGAUACAUAUGUUCAAACUAAAUUGAAAAAGGAAGUAAUGUUCAAAUGAUUACAUGAGGUUACCUCAUCUCCAAUGCGAUGUUUCAUACCCCAGAUUAGAAAAGUACCUCCACCAUGUAAAGUGGCAAAUAAUAUCAUUGCUGUCCCAAGCCAAAUGUGAUAUCUCACGGAAGCUUCAAAUUGGAUGCCAAGUAAUCGAAAUAUUGACAUCCCCCUCAAGAUGGGAAGAAGAAGAAGAGCUAGGCAGGCUUCUGCUAAUAAACCACACCUUGUCGCGACUCUAAAGAUUCUGUAUUGCCAUCUGGAAAUGGCGGAGUUGGAAAAUAUUAUCAGAGAGUACUCUGAUAAUUGUUUUGAAAAUGAUGCUAUAAUAUUUGCAUGGGAAUAUAGGAAUAUACUUACACGGGCAAAGUAAAUGAUUUAAUUGGUAUCAUCUUCUUGAAGUCACUGGAGAUACGAGCGUAGAAUGUCCAUGCUAGAAAGAUGACGAAUAGAGAUACAACAAGGAUUUCAAACCCAGACAGAAUUCCUAUAUACCUAUUCACAACUAGUGGAUUGGAAAGAACAGAUAGUGAAGAUCUUCCUUUCCUGCAACCAAAUUCAGCACAUGUUUGCAUGAAAGAGCCUAUAUUAAACAUUAGUAUGCUUAUAUAUAUACUGCAGGUAAAAAGCAUACCUGCUGGUUGGUUCCUUUUGUUUCAGUUCCAAGUACAUAAAACCUACUAUAGCUAUAGCAAUAACAGGAAAGGUGUAGACUGCAAAAUUAAGACCUGCAGGACCUCAAAAGGAAGAAAAAAAAACAUUCAGUAUUUUGGAGGGGAUUAACAUUGAACAGGACAUUACAUUAACAUUUCUUGUACAGGUAAAUGGUGAGUUUGAAGUUAAACCUAUACAUCUAAAAUAAUUUGAGUUUGGAAUUCAGAACCUCACCAGCUUGGGUUAAGAAUGAGGUUGAUGCCUUUGCUUCUGCAAUUUUCCAACUUUUAGUCCAUAGUUGCGUGGGCUUGAGAAGCCAAAGUGAUAACCAUCCAGCAAAUAUCAAGACAAGUAGCAAUUUAAGGAGGAAAGAGGGAAUUUUAGUCAUCUUUUAAGAAGAGCUGACUCUAUACAUGGAAUGUAACGAGUUUCUAUAUAUAUAGUCUGGUAAAUUAUUCCGAGCACCCUUCUAAUAUGAGUCAAAUGCAGAAUACAUCCCUUGUAUUUCAAGAUCAUACACUUAACCCCCCUUAUACAAUAGAACUCCUACACAAAUAUUAGCUUGAAAAAUAUUUCUACUUUACAAACUGUUAAGUGUUACCCUAUAUUAACAGUGGUAUCUGUUGCUCCCAGAAAUUAUUGUGCGCUCUGCACCAUCCAUCAAUUUUGGAAUCAAUUCUCAUAUAAUAACAAGUUAGACCUGUUUUAAGUGAGAUUGAUGGUGAUGGAUAAUGAUGCCAUCAACUUAUGACAUUUGUGAUGGCUUUCUAAAUGGGAAUAUAUCUUCUUCUUUUUUGCUUACUGAGUGGAUGCUAUUAUCAGCAUAUCUAUUCAUUACAACAGAUGAACCAAUUUGCAGUAGUGGAUACAUGGUCCACUCCACUAUUGCUACAGCCUAUGUUGUCUGACCUUCUUCCGCAUGUAGAUGGGAAAGAGAUCCAAAAAGAUAGCCCUCUACUCUAACUGGUUGACUAUAAUUUGUUCAUUCUGGGAACCAGACCCAUUAUAGACAGGGAGGAACUGGUAGAGCUCUUGUUAACAAGACAGCACAGUGAAUUACUGAUUUUUGCUUCUAGUUGCGCUAGCAGAAAUAUUUUUUGUGAUGGUCCUACAAUGUGGUUGGUAAUUAGAUUACCCCAUAAACUAUGGUGUACUAAUAUGAGAUCAGUUAGAUGAUUAUAAAAAUCAGUGAGUGUGACAUUCGCACCAAAAUAUGUCUGUUUGACCAAAAAGUAUAAUUUUCGGCUAAAACUAUUAUAUUUGUGUAAUAAUGGGUUAAACCUAGUUAAUGAUAAUAUCUCUAGAUGCGAGUUUUGAAAGCGUAUGUGAGGUGGGACAGAUCUAGAGGGCUUACAAUAACAAGCAUUAAAUAGUCAUAAAAUAAAAGCAAUAAUGGAAGAAGGACUAAUAAUAAAUAGCAAUAAAUGACAUUUGAGUAAAUAUGAGGUGCGAUUCACCCAAUAAAUAAUGAGCUAGGUGAUUAUUCCUCAUGACAAUGAUGAAUGACAGACAGAUCUUAGAACAUUCGAAAUCUUCUCAUGGAAAAGUGCAGGAUAAUGUAAACACGAAUCUUGAUAAAAAGAUGUUCUUUGUAUCUUUUCAAAGAGGGAGAGAAUCUUUUGUAAAGUUUGCUCUUAUCACAAUGAAUAUCACAUGCCUCUAUUCAUUAUUUUUUUUGCUAUUUAUAUGGGACAUACCCCCAAUGAGCACUAAUAGUAGAGAAUAUCCAAUAAAAUAUUCUCUUUAAUAUCCUGCCCUAAUAAACUAGUCGUUACAGCUCUGUUUACGGUGCUUGACAUCGACCAUCUUCCACAUCUCGACCACGGGCUUGGUCAUCUCCUGGUCGACCUCGGCCGACUCUUUUCUCGAUACUGCUUAAUCCCAAGUACUGAGGCAAUUUUGACCCAUAUAGUUAGUCCCUCCGCUUAUUAAGGCCGACCCCAGGUGACCUUAAUAAGCGGAUUCUGUUUACUGCGGUUGGCAAAAUUUGGGCGAGCGAGUCGAGCAGUGACGUUUUGGAUGAGAUGACAUUGUGACCUUUCGUGAACUGCAUCUUUUGGGGUUGUGUCACUUUUGUACCAAAAUGACGUCACGACGUCAUGCGUCAUUAUGACGCAUUUUCCCGAUGCUCCGCGUCGUUUCUCGUGCGACUGUCAGUUGGGGGCUGCCGUUUCGACUCCAGUGCCAGGUAAUGAUGGCAUAGUCUCUUGGUUUUGGUGCCUGAAUCCUUAUAAAGAGAGGUGCAACGACGUUCGUUUGCUCCUUAUUUUUUUCAUAAAGAACAUUGUGCCUUCUUCUUCUUCCCUUGAUGCAUAUCUUCCCUAAUGGUUUUAGCGAUUCUCGUUGCUUCUCAUACUUCCUUGCAUGAAUAUCCUCUUUCAAGAAAGAGAAAUAUGGUUAAUGUAUCCUCUGGUUCUAGUGCGAGAAUUGACCAUGUCCCCUUAGUAGUGCUUAUGCCCCCUCGCGCUGAUGGAGUCUCUGUCGCCAUUGAAGAUGAGAAUUUUCCCAUGGCGGAAGAAAUAAUUCCCCGUAGUGAGAAAGUAAGGUCUGACUUUUCGAAGGCAAGCCCGAGGUUUCAGAGUCAGCGAUGAAAGAGAUCGAUUUGACUGAGCUUAGGCAAAAAUUCAACAUUCCUGCCCACAUCGAUCUAGUCCCAGCAGGGCGCGAUAUGGUACAAAUUCCCCGCCCUGGGUAUUGCGCGUUCUAUGCAUAUCCUUUCCAUGUUAGCUAUACUCUUCCCCUUCUCCCGUUGGCGGAGGAAUUUUGCCGCUACUAUGGUGUUUGCCCGGCCCAACUAUCUCCAUACAUCUACAAGCUUAUUAGGAUGCUCACAAAGUUUGCGGAAUUGGCCGGGGUCGAGGUCUCACUCUGCCAUCUGAUGCAUCUCUUCGCCCCUAGCUUCUACAGGGGGACGAUGUUGCACCUUCAUCAUCGAGGAAGUAAAUGCCUGGUAGUGAAGAUGGACGACAAGGCAAAUCGUCACUUCUGGUUCAACUACUUUUUUGUCAGAACCGAAGACGUGGUGCCAAACACGGAUGGCUUCCCUAAGACUUGGAAUUACACUCGUAAGUAUCUUUUUUCUUUUUUCUUUGUUAAAGCACUUGAUUUGUUUUGGUCGCCGAUUCUGACAUUUUGUUCAUUCUUCGUACAACCAAGACUACGCCCCCUCCUUUGGUUGAGGAUAUUUCGAACUGGGUUGGCCGUGUUCUGCCUCACAUUGUGGGGAUUCGUGAAUGGCCGAGCUUUCUCAAGAAGGUCGGGCCUGCUUCUUCCUUGGCCAGUGAGUUCAUCUGUACAAAUUUUGCCAUCUCGACCUCAUGGUCGCUUACUCAUUGCAGUUUUAUUCUUGGUAAUGAUAACCUUUAUUCCUUUUCAGUUCGAGGAUCUUCGAGGAGGCCAAGGGCUCCUUCUCUUACGUUUCGUAGGAGGAAGGCUGAUUCUUCUUCGGAGUCUAUUCCCAUCGUGACCGCGGCUAGGCCUGCCCGAUCAUCUACUUAUGUUCCUUCUUCCACCGCGGCCAGGUCUGCUCGGUCGUCGACCCCACCUUCUGCUGCCUCAGCAUCAGUUUCUUCUCCGCAUGUGGACAUAUCGGCAACAGAGCUUCCGGCUUCCCUUUUGUAUCGUCUAGUAGAUGAGGAGGAAGAGUCGUCGUCGAGCGGUGGGAAUUUAGUUCCCCGUAAGAGAAGGUCGGUUGAUGUCAGUGACGGGAUCGUCAGGGCUAUGGAUUCAGCAAGGGGCGACUUUGUCAUUCGAGGGACGGCGACAAUAGUGCUUGGAGACGACGUCGAGUUGCCGUCCGAGAUUCCGCCAUCGGCUGAGGGCAUGUCCUUUCCCGAAGCCACGAUGGAAGCUGAAGGGCCAUCGAUGAGAGUCCCUGAUAUUUUGUGGCAAGAUGAGCCAUCGGCCUCGCGACCGGUUGAGGGUCCUCCUUCACUGGCCGACAAGAAAGGAAAGAGCGUUGCCGAGGAUGGUUACGAGACGGGCUCUGAUGCUGACACCGAUGAGGUGAGGAUGAUGGGGGAUGGAUUUACCUGACUCAAAGUAAGAUUGGAGGGAUCCACGCGGACCAUUGUGAUCCCCAUGGAUCGAGAUAUUUUGGUUAAUACGGAGAACGUGGUUCCUUCCCUUGGUCCCCUCUGUUCCGACGUGGAGGAUAAAACCCUUGAAAAGCUGGAUGACACUACCUUAUCUAGGAGCAUAGCCGGCCUCGCUCUCAGGGUAAGCUUUUCGACUUCUUUCGUUUUUGUUUGUCAAGUUCAAAGUUUAUGCUUCGUUCUUACUCUUCGUUUUUAGACUGUGAUUUUGGAAAUUGAAAGUGCCCGAAGAGAGGAGAGGCGUAAGGCUAUUUAUCUGAAGAUGGAGCGAAAAUACCGUGAGUACCGUGGCAAGUACCGCGAGAUUUGUAGGCGGUUUAGUGAGGGUGGCAAUUUACAAGCUCUCCGAGACGAGCUGAAGGAAAAGGAUGACGAGCUGGUAAGGGUCAUCGAAAAAUGCAGCGUUCUUGAGGGGGCGCUAAGGGAUAAAGAAGAGGAGUUAGAGGUUAGUAGGGCGGUCGAAGCCCAGUGCGGAGAUCUCCAAGCCCAAGUGGUCUCGCUGCGUGCCGAGUUCGAGGAGUGUGAAUUCAAAGCGGAUGCUUUAAGUGGCGAGGUCGCCGAGAAGGCAGCGGAUCUCGAGAAGGCGAAGUUAGCUCAGUUGGGGGCUAUGAGGAAGACGGAGGCUUUGGAGAUCGCAAUUCGUGUUCUUCGUUACGAGCGAGAGAGCACCUUGGAGACGGCCAGACUAAAAGAAGAGCGGCUUGAUGAACAGAUUGGAGAAUUAGAGAAAAAGGCCUCUGGCCUGUGUGAUCGGGUCGCCGCUCUUGAGGCCUAAAAGGCACAAUUACUGGCCCGACCGUCCUCUUCCCGCACUUAUAAUUUUCCUGAUGUUCCUCGGAAUUUGUACAAGGAGUGGAUUUACUCCUAGGCCCAACUGGAUAUAUUCAGAGAUCUGAUGAGGGCGGGAACCGUUUUAGAAGCCGUCUUCGAGGAUGCUCGUGUUAAGGCACGUGGAGCUCAGGUCGCUUGUGGUUUUGAUCCUGCUACACCGUAGGUCGGUGAUGAUGAGGGGUAUGCGGGCGUAGAUCAGAUUGAAGAGGAUGCCUGGAAUGAGGACGAGCAUCCUGAGGGCGAUGGUGAUGGUGAAGGUGAAGAUAGGGAUGGCUUAGGUGAUCAGGCUGAUGGCGUUGCUGGGCCUGGUGGCGAUUAGCAGUUUUUCUUUUUCUUCUUUUUUUUUUGCCGCAGACUCGUGCGUUUUUUUGUUUGCGUCUUUUCUAGCCUUUGUAAAAAAUAUUCAGAGUAUGAAAUACCAAUUUUGCUAUUUGUACCGGAUUCUUUUUCUUCAGUUCAAACUUGUAUGCUUUAGAUCUCAUUCCUUGGUUGCCUUGGUUUUCUUGUUCGUAAUCAUUUAGCUCGAGUAUGGUUGAACAUAUUCUUAGUUUAAUUGUAGCCCGCGGGUCAACAAGUGUUAGUUCGAUCGAGGUCGAAACAAAACCUAAGUUUGAUCGUGGCCGAGGGCCGGUAGUUGUUAGUUCGAACGAGGUCAAAUGUAUCGUACGUUUGUUUAUAGCCGAAGGCCGGUCAGGUGUUAAUUCGAACAAGGUCGAAUAUAACCUAUACUUGGUCGUGGUCGAGGACCGUUUAGGUGUUGAUUCGAACGAGGUCGAAUAUAAUAUAUACUUAGUUAUGGCCGAGGGCCAUUUAGGUGUGAAUUCGAACAAGGUCGAAUAUAACCUAUACUCAGUUAUGGACGAGGGCCGUUUAGGUGUGAAUUCGAACGAGGUCGAAUAUAACCUAUACUUAGUUAUGACCGAGGGCCGUUUAGGUGUGCCUUUAGGCGCGGCAUUUGUCGGCAUUGUAAUCUUUAAAUGCGACGUUGCCUUGGUUAUACAUUUGGAGAAAUAGAAUUGAACUUCGUGCAUUUGUGCUUUGUUCAUACACUUGGAGAAAUUUACAUAAUUUUUUCGGACAUUGGCUGGCAUUUCAACCCCAGUCCCAGUCCUAGCCUAUCCAGUCCCUUCAAUGGUCGACCUGGAGAAGUCUCGAGAGGUCGAGCAAUGAACUAGCCGUCCUAUGCCUCCGUCUGUGCGUACUUCAACUUGAAGCGUCUCCUCCGUCGCCUCGUUAAAAACCUCCUCGAGAAAAUCCAAUUGGGUCAAAACUCAAGUGAGGGAAAAAGAGUACGACUUUGGGGACGCUUCAUGUCUUAAAACUUGAAGUACUUGAGGUGUGCAAUGUUCCAGUUGUUUGGUAGUAGCUUUCCUUCCAUUGUUUCCAGUUGGAAUGACCCAUUGCUUGUUGUUGUGAUUUUGUAUGGGCCGUCCCAAUUGGUUCCUAGUUUACCUUUCCUGUGGGUCUUUGCUCACUUGUGUUUUAGCUUUAAGCACGUAGUCCCUGACUUGAGUGGCAUGAUCUUUGCUUUUUUGUUAUAAUAGCGUUCUGUUUGUUGCUUUUGGGCGAUCAUCCUUAUGUAGGCCAUAUCUCUUCGUUCAUCGACUUUAUCGAGUUCCUACCUUCUGCUUUCAUCGUUGAUGGGUCCGCUUUCAUGGGAGUAUCUUAGGUUGGGCUCCCUGACUUCGACCGGUAUUACUGCAUCAGUCCCAUAAACCAAUGAGUAAGGCGUCUCUCAUGUGCUCGUCUUCAGCGUUGUUCGGUAGGCCCAGAGUACUUCUGGUAAUAUUUUCGACCACAACCCUUUGGCGUCUUCGAGUUUCUUCUUCAUGAUGUUCAAUAUCGAUUUGUUGGAGGAUUCCGCUUGUCCGUUUCCCACGGGGUGGUAUGGCGUUGAGAGUAUUCUUUUGAUAUGACAUUUCUCAAAAAACUCAGUGACUUUCUUUCCUAUAAAUUGGGGUCCAUUGUCACAGCUGAUCUCCUUGGGUAGGCCGAAUCGACAUAUGAUGUUUUUCCGUAUGAAGGUGAUCACCUCAUGCUCAUGUAUUUGGGCGAAUGCUCGUGCUUCUACCCAUUUGGAGAAAUAAUUAGUUAAAACCAAAAGAAAUCGUACGUUACCUCGUCCUGCCGGGAGGGGGCCCACGAUGUCCAUUCCCUAUUUGAUGAACGGCCAAGGGGAAGUCACUGAGUGUAGGUGUUUGCCUGCUUGGUGAAUCAUUGGGGCAUACUUCUGGCAUUGCUCGUAUUUUUUCACGAAAUCCGCGGCCUCCUUUUUCAUGGUGGGUCAGUAAUAUCCCAUCUGUAUGAGGCAUCUAACCAAAGCCCGAUUGCCGGAAUGAGCUCCACAGUGGCCUUCGUGUACUUCCUCAAGGACGCGCCGUGUCUAAUUUGGGCCCAGGCAUUUCGCUAGAGGGCCGCCGUAUAUCCUCUUGUACAAGUCGUUGUGAAUGAUGAUGUACAUUGCUGCUUGCAUCCACAAUUUCUUGGCUUCUUUUUUAUCAACUGGGAGUAUUCCGUCCUGCAAGUAUGUAACAAUACGGUUGCGCCAGUCCCCAAGUCAAAUUUAUGGUUCUUACCUCGAUUAGGUAUAUUGAUGAGUUGAAAAGAUGGACUACGUUUCUAUCUUCGGUUGUAAUGCUUUUGGUGACUAAUACUAAUUUGGCGAGGCUGUCUGCCUCGGUAUUCUGUGCUCAGGGGAUCUGGUCGAGUUGGCACUCGUCGAACUCGGGUAGUAGCUUGCAGAUUUUGGUCUAGUACUUCUGUAACCUUUGUUCCUUGAUUUGGAAAGUCCUUAUGACUUGGUUGACCACGAGUUGCGAAUCGCAACACAGUCUUAGCCGCUUCGCUCCGUAUUUGAAUGCUAGUCUUAAUCCUGCAAUUACGGCCUCAAACUCGACCUUGCUGUUAGUCAUGUCUGGGCACCUUAUGGACUGGCGAAUCACUUCGCCUGUUGGGACUUCGAGUACAAGUCCCAGCCCGGACCCUGACGCGUUAGAUGCGCUGUCAAUAUACAGGACCCAGAGGUUUUGCGUUUAGGGAGAAGUGUGGACGACUUCUUUUUCGACUCCGGGCAUUAUUUUUGCGCUGAAGUCGGCGACGAAGUCUGUAAGGACUUGUGACUUUAUCGUUGUUCGCGGCCGAUAUGUGAUAUCGUGCUCGCUUAAUUCGAUGGCCCAUUUGGCCAACCUGCCUGAUAGAUCGGGUUUAUGCAAAAUGCUUCUUAGGGGGAAAGUCGUGACAACCGAGACGGGGUGGCAUUGGAAAUAUGGUCUAAGCUUUCGUGAAGCUACGACUAAGGCCAGAGCCAGUUUUUCAAGGUGGGGGUAUCUCGUCUCGGCGUCGACUAGUGUUUUGCCAAUGUAAUAGAUGGGAGACUGCGUACCUUUAUUUUCUCGGACCAAGACCGCACUCACAUCUACUUCGGAACGGCGAGAGAGAUGAGGAGUUGUUGCCCCGGUUCUGGUUUUGAAAGCAAUGGUGGCGAUGCCAAGUACACCUUUAACUCCUCCAGGGCUUGGGCGCACUCGAGGGUCCAUUGGAGGUUGUUAUCCUUUUUGAAUACGCCGAAGAAUCUAUGGCACCUAUCAGAUGAUCGUGAAAUGAAUCUUGAAAGGGCAGCGAUACGGCCAGUCAAUCUCUGAACUUGCUUUUUAGUGGUCAAGUGCUCUGGUAUCCCUUCGAUGGCCUUGAUUUGGUCGGGAUUGACCUCGUUACCCCGUUGUGACACUAUAAAACCUAAGAAUUUUCCUGAGGCCACGCCGAAUGCACAUUUUUCGGCGUUCAGUUUCAUUCUGUAUUUCCUGAGUAUGCCGAAAGCUUCUCUCAAGUGGUCGAUGUGAUCUUCUUUCCUUUAGGAUUUGACUAGCAUGUCAUCAUAUAAACUUCCAUCGUUUUUCCGAGUUGGUCUUUGAACAUCCUCGUCACCAACCUUUGAUAAGUCGCCCACGCAUUUUUCAGCUCUAAGGGCAUGACCAUGUAGCAGUACGUCCCCUGAUGAGUGAUAAAGGUGAUUUUUUCCUGAUCCUCUUCCUCCAUGAGGAUCUUAUUAUAGCCCGAGUAGGCGUCCAAGAAGCUUAGCAGUUCAUGUCCGGCCGUUGCGUCGAUGAGUUGGUUGAUAUGGGGUAGUGGAAAUGAAUCCUUGGGGCAUGCUUUGUUCAAGUUAGUGAAAUCUACACACAUCAGCCAUUUUCCGUUCUUUUUCACCAUGACCACGUUGGCGACCUAUUUGGGGUAUUUAGACUCCCUGACGGAGCCAUUUUCCAACAACUUUUCCACCUCUUUGCGUAUUGCAUCAUUAAUCGACAUCGGGGGGUGGAAUUUCCACCUCUUCGCGGAGUUGAACUUACGCCUAACCUGCCUCACCGGGGGGUGGAAUUGAUCGACAUUCAAUUUGUGUGUGGCGAUCUCCUUUGGGAUACCUGGCAUAUCUGCAUGGCUGAAAGCAAACAAGUAUGCGUUAGCAGUUAAGAAUUGACGAAACUUACCCGGUUCCUGAAGUUUGCAUCCGAUAUAAGCUUUCUUGCUGUGGUCGUUGAUGUCUAAUUAAAUGGGGUCGAGGUCCUCUACGGUCGAUCCUGCAGCUUCGACCGUAUCGGGGUCUCUGAUGACGUCCUCGCUGUCAUCACAUAUCGACCUCGGCCAUGUUGAUUGCUAUGCCUCUUCUUCUUUGUCCUUUGUUUGUUGGGUGGUUGUACAGUCUAAGGCGAUGCGGUAGCAUUCCUAGGAUGUGCGUUGUUCCCCUCGUAUACUAAAUAUCCCCCAUGGAGUUGGGAAUUUGAUGACUUGGUACAAGUUGGAGGGGAUGGCUCUCAUGAUAAGUAUCCAUGGUCGCCCUAUUAUGGCGUUGUACGUUGUGUCUUGGUCCAUGAUAUGGAACGUGGUUUCCAGCGUGACGCCACCGGCCAGGACUUGGAGUGUGAUCUCACCGGAUAUUCGCUCAACUGUAUUGUUAAAACCCGUUAGUGUGAUGCAGCGCGACACUAUCUUAUCCUCUUGUUUCAUUUGUGCAAGCACUUGAUGGUGGAUAAUGCAUGCGCCACUCCCAUCGUCUACUAUAAUGCGCCUCACAUCGGUAUCUAAAAUUUGUAAAGUGAUUACAAGAGCAUCAUAGUGAGGGAGAACCAAGCCGUUGGUAUCUGACUUGUCGAAGAUUAUACUUUCUUCGAGUUCAUCAUACCGUUCGUGGGUGAUCGACCGUUUGAGCUUGUGGGUUGUGGUGAACUUCACACUGUUGAUGGAAGCAUCGUCGCCUCCCCCGAUGAUCAUGUGGAUGGUACGGGUCGGCGAGGGUGGUUUCGGCGGUCCUUGAUGUUGUUCACGUCCUCUGGCAAAGUUGGUCCCUCCCCGGUCGCUCAACAACUCUUUGAGGUGUCCCUGUCGUAGCAUGUUUACGACCUCAUGUUUUAGGGCGAUGCAAUCUUCGGUUUUGUGUCCUCGCUCUUGAUGGAACUCGCAGAGGGCAUCUGAUUUUCUGGUAUUCGGGUCUGACCUCAUCUUUUGUGGCCACUUCACCUUCAGUCCGAGCUUCUCCAAGGCGUAGAUUAUUUCUGUAUGUGACACACAAAAAUUGUGAGCGGAUAAUAAAUGGGGCAUACAUUUCUUGUUCCGGUGAAUCCCUGUUUUUGAUCGGGGUGGGCCUUCUUCGUGGCGAGUUGAGGACGUAGUGGCGGUUCUGACAUAUGAUAGAUGCAGUUCCCAGUUGGGUCGCGAGGCUGUGAGGUCUCUUCUGAUAUCAUUUCUUCUAUCUUUCCUGGAUUCUGCUUGCACCGAGGUCAGUCGAUGGGUGAGCCCAUUGAGGUCAUCCUCGUCUGCUCGGACUUCGGCGCAAUAUGCGUUGUGUAUCUCAUCCCAAGUAGUUGGGGGGUACUUCAUAAGUCGACUCGGUAGCUUUCUUGUCGCCCUCGAACCAUUUCUGCUCAGUCCGUUUUGAAAAGCUGCGACCGUCAUCCCUUCCGAUACAUUUGGCAAGGUCAUUCUCACUCGGUUGAACCGGGCGAGGAAAUCCCUCAAUCCUUCUCCCGAAGACUGUUUAAUAACAAAUAUGUCGUUUACUCUCGCCUCUGCCUUUUUGGCUCCAACAUGGGCCGUUACGAACUUAUCGGCCAUUUCUUCGAAGGUUUCAAUAGAGCGUGCAAGCAGUUGUGAGUAUCAAGUUAACGCUCCUCCUGUGAGGGUCUCGCCGAACUUUUUUAACAAAAUGGAGGAUACUUGUUCCUUGGCAAGGUCAUUCCCUUUAACGGCGUCACAUGGUCUUCGGGGUCGGUCGUGCCAUCAUAUAUUUUCAGGUAAGACGACAUCUUAAAGGUCUUUGGUAUGGCAUGUGGGGCGGCAUCAUCACUGUACAAUUGCUCGACGAACCGUCUGGCAUCUCUCUUCGGCAAGAGCUUAGGGGCGUCUGGUAUCUUAUCGACUCUCUCUUUGUGUUCUCUCAUUUGAUCUCGAAGCGUUUUGUUCUCAUUUUUCAUUUCCUCCAUUCUUUUAAAAAUGGUUGUGAGAGUGUCGACACCAGCAUUAUUAACGACAUUGUGAGUAAUACCUGCCGUUGGAGGAGAAGGGAGUUGACCAUGCUGCUCGUUCGCUGGUGGUAUAACGCAAGUCCUUGCGUUAUUUGUAGCUGCGUCCCGAGCGGGCUUAUGGAGGACGCUGGAUAGCGUGUCAGUUAGCCAGGCCUCUAGGAGCUUUUUUAUUGCUGGUGGCGCCUCCUCCGCCACGGAUGUGGAGGCUUCCUUGCCAAGAGACUUUGUGAUUAUGUCGUGGGGAAAGGGGUGAUCCACCUCGCCUGGGAGAGGCAUUGGGCGUUGCGCCCUCGUCCACUUCUUCAGAGCUCUCAUUGAAUAUGUUCAUGAGGUUGGUUGGGAGGUCACUCAUUAUUCUCAUUCUUUCUUCUCUGUUACCUGUCAUAUUAGAUCUAUGUAUGCAGAGAGAAAAUGAUCUUGCUCUUGUUUUGUUUUUUUUACGUUAGUAACGAGUGUCAGUUGUACAUCUAGAAGAAACUAAAAAUUCAACUAGAUAAUCCCCAUAGACGACGCCAAAUUGUUUGACCAAAAAGUAUAAUUUUCGGCUAAAACUAUUAUAUUUAUGUAAUGAUGGGUUAAACCUAGUUAAUGAUAAUAUCUCUAUAUGCGAGUUUUGAAAGCGUGUGUAAGGUGGGACAGAUCCAGCAAGGGACUGACAAUAACAAGCAUUAAAUAGUCAUAAAAUAUAAGCAAUAAUGGAAGAAGAGUUGAUAAUAAAUAGCAAUAAAUGGUAUUUGAGUAAAUAGGAGGAGUGAUUCACUCAAUAAAUAAUGAGCUAGGUGAUUAUUCCUCCUGACAAUGAUGAACGAUAGACAGAUAUUAGAACAUUCGAAAUCUUCUCGGAUCUGAUGGAAAAGUGCAGGAUAAUGUAAACAAGAAUCUUGAUAAAAAUGUGUUCUUUGUAUCUUUUCAAGAGGGAGAGAAUCUUUUGUAAAGUCUGCUUUUAUCACAAUGAAUAUCAAAUGUCUCUAUUCAUUAUCUUUUUUGCUAUUUAUAUGGGACAUACCCCCAAUAAGCACUAAUAGUACAUGUACAGAGAAUAUCCAAUAGAAUAUUCUCUUUAAUAUCCUGCCCUAAUAAACUAGCCGUUACAGCUCUGUUUACGGCGCUUGACAUCGACCAUCUUCCGCAUCUCGACCACGGGCUUUGUCAUCUCCUGGUCGACCUCGACCGAUUCCUUUCUCGAUACUUGAUUAAUCCCAAGUAUUGAGGCGAAUUUCGACCCAUAUAAUGUCUCCCUGCAUACCUAAAACUGCUACAACAGAAAGCUUAAGUGGAAACUCAGAUUAAUAAUUGCAUUUGGAAACAGAUGAACAAUAGCUACAACGGAAAAGGGUCAUAUUUGACCUUGUACUCUUCAAAAAGGGUUACAUUUGCCAUUCUUUAUACUUUUUUGAUAUAUUUAUCCUUACCUUAUACUUUAGGAUUAUAUUUGCCCCUCAUCCGUUAAAUUCACAUGUCCCACCUUUGUUUUCCUACAUGGCGCCUAUGUGAAUUUCUUUUUCUCCCAAUUUAAAUAUGGUCACCUAUUUAAGAUAAUUUUACCCGCCCACCCAAUUAAACCCAACCCACUAACUAAAAUAAACCAAAAUCCUAAUUCCCAAACCCCCGACUCGUCCAUCUCUCUUCUCCGGGCCAGCUUCAUGUUUCCCGGCAGAGCGAAAAAAUUCUGGACAGUGGUUGCUGAAACACAGCAUUUGGAAAUGUACUACACUGGUGAUUACUUUUGUUAUACAGUUUAAGCACCUUCUUGGUGCUAUUUAGUAAUGAAAUUUAAACUUUUACCUGAUAAAAGGAAAAAGAAAAAGAAAAACUCAGAUGAGCAAGUCUUAUUUUAUUAGUUAGCUAAUUAAACCUCUAGUAUCAGCUAUAUAUUAUCUGAUGUUUUUGUAUUAUUUCAUCAUACUAGUUGAUGCCAAUCAAGCAUAGACAUGAAUUAAGCUUAAAGGCUAAAGCCCCUCCGAAUAAUUUCAGGACUACUGGUGAUCGCAAGAUAUUGAUGAUUUUAAACUGUCUACUCGUCAAGACGUGACCAAAUUAGUAGUCCGAAGAAUGGAGAUAUAACGAAUUAUGAUUUUUAGUGGAUUUUCACAAGCCUUUGCUAAUAUAAUAUUCUGAAUCUUACGGGAAAAAGAUAAAUGGCAUAUUGGAAGAAAAAUCAAAUGAUAGUAAAUACUAGCCAUUGGUUUGCAUUUUUAGCACAUCAUGAAUCAUGAUAUGGUCCAAAAACACUUUACCUCGUGCAAAAAGCCUUAAUUCCCAUUAAAAACAAACUAGAUGGCUUCAUUGCCUCUUAGAUCGCUAUCUGAGGUCGGUCCAAAGAGAAAAUAGCAAGGAGAAGCAUGUUACGGUUGAGAAAUAGAAAAGCAAAUUUUCUUUUUACGUAAAAGGCACAGUUGGUACAUAGAAUGUGACAUGUUCAAAAGCUUGCAAAUGUUGACAAAAGAAAGAAUCAAAACCUUUUUCCUUACUUUGUGUCUUCGAUAGCGACGACCUUUGUUUGUUUUCCUCAUAAUCGGCCAAUUCCGUAAGCAUUUAAUAUUUGUUUCCUUCUUCCAUAUCUCCUCCCUUCUUUUAAGUCCACAAUAUUUAUCCCCAGUCCCCACUAAGCCAUUUCUUUUUUUCCCUUUUUGGAGUGGAAGAGAUGGGGGUGUAUAAUUCACUGCUUGAAUAGUAGUAGCGUCAAGAUUUAGAAAAGAGAUGUCUUGGGAAAUCGAAGAGAUUGGAGAAGAUAGCAAGAGUGAAGUAAGUAACAAUGAUGGUGGAGGAAUAACGAAUGAUGUUUAUGUAGCUGUUGGCAAAAAUGACUUGCAUGUUCUUCAAUGGGCGCUUGAUCAUACCAUCUCCCCAGGAAUUCGCAUUUGCCUUGUCCAUAUUUUUCCUCCUAUUACUUACAUACCUUCACCAGGUAAUUGUUACUCCAUUUGUCAAUUUAGUGUGAAUUUGAUGCUUCAUCCAAAACAGUAGCACAUACAUAGGAAAAUUGUGUUACUUUUUCAUACUGCGUCUUCACUACUUUUUCCCCCUUGAUUACUACAGCUUUACAGAAUGAUGUAUUGAAGAAAUCAGGGGAAUGUUAAGUUAGGAUAAUCAGUAAAUCAAGCAAAAGAGGGAAUCCGAGAAUACGAAUAGCUUUUUAGUUUCAUGAUUAGAUAUUUAAUGUUCUGCUCAAUUCUUUGCUUAUGUGACUACACUAACACCACUUGAAUGAAAAUAAUAUAAAAUAAACAUCCAUUCAAAAUAGAAAGUAAAGUCUUAAAACUCUAGACCCAAACUCACAUACAAGCCGGUUAUGAUAAAAGGUCAACAUCUCUCGAACAAAAUUCUGCAAACGCUAUUGAUUGCGGCAGCCUGAUCGCAUGAAGAUGCCUGGCUCAAAGAGUAUUAAUAUCAAUUAACAAAAUUAUUCAUAUACAGUCAAAUCUCUUUAUAACAACCUCAUUUGUUACGAUAUUUUUUGGUUGUUAUAGAGAAGUGUUGUUAUACAAGACAUCUAUUAUCACAUAAUAUAAAAAUUGGUUUCGAGACGCUACUUGUUUAAUUUCUCUCGAGAUGAGCCAACCCAAAGUAUGAUGCUUCUGAGCUUGUAGUAGCUAACAACGAGACUAAAAGCUGCCUACCUUGACAAGUUGCAUAGGUUAUUAUGUCACAAUGUAUCUGGUCCUUUGUCAAUUGAGAGGCUAGUCAAGAUAUAGAAAUUGUUUGCACAUUGCGUCAUUUAUAUUCCAACUAAAAUUUCCUUCUUGAACAAACUUUAGCAAAAAGGGUGAAAUAUUAAUGAGGAAAAAGCAACAAAAAAAAAAGGACUUUUUGGCCAACUUGUUAACAAUUUGAAUUUUGCUUUGAAAGUUGGGAAGUUAUCAAAAAGCCAAUUGAGUAGAGAGCAGGUGCAAGCCUACAUCAAUCAAGAGAGUAAUAGGAGGAAAAAUCUCUUGGAAAAAUACAUCCGCCUAUGCAAUGAUGCCAAGGUAGGUGCAUUUGUACAUUGUCAAAUCAAAGGUUGAUUCUUGUUGAUUAACUGGGAAUCAAUGCAGGUAGCAGUAGAUACUGUACUUGUGGAGAGCAAAUCACCAGCCAAAACAUUACUUGAUCUAAUCACCGUCGUCAACGUUACCAGCCUUGUGAUUGGAACUAAGCGAUCACUUUCCACCAUGUAAUUAGACAUAUAUAGUUUUCUGUUAGCUCACAUCUGAUAUUUUUGUCCAAUUUGAUCUGUAUAAGUUGGAAUUUGAAGAACUAAAGAGUUCUGGUGUUUUUAUUUUCGUUACAGACGAGUGAAGAAGGGACAUGGAGUAGGAGAAUAUGUUCAAAAGAAUGCACCGGAUUUCUGUCAAGUUAAAGUCGUUAGUGAAGGCAAAGAGAUUAAGAACGAGCAUGUCAAAGGGAGUAGUAAUCCUACUUCUCUUGUGCGUAGUAAACAAACUGACAGGAAUUUCUUUGAAUGCAUGUGCUUUUCUGGCAAGUUUAAUUGAAAUGUGGGAAGAAAUACGAGGAAAGUUGGUCUUUGUACAAGUUUAAUAGCAUAGCGUUACUCUCAAUUUUCUAAUUUAGAUAUUAUGUCUAGUACAUUAAAUGAUUAAAUGAUAAAUUAGAGAAAAUACUCCAAAAUGUCCACAACUAAAUAACCCAGUAGUUAAUUUUUAUUCACACUUUGAUUAUGGUGUUAAUUUGUGUUACCUCCAUAUCAAUUUGAAGAAGGUAUCUCCUCUCUGUUUGUUAAUUAGGCAAAUUCUAUAAUAAAUCAGUCAUUAUUUUGAACAAAUUAUAAGCUACAUUUUAAAAAAAUUAUACUACUGUAAGAUUAAAUUAUACGUUCAAGUAGAUACUUUAAAAUUAAACAACCAAACUUUGUUUGAUACCCACUUUAAUUUUUUUAUACUCAAUUUGUUUUUUUGUUUGUUUGUUUAUUCCCUUCAUUUGUCAAGGUAUUAAGUAGAAAAGUAUGAUAGUUCAUAAACCUAAAACAAUUUACAACCCCAUAACUUUAAAUUCGCUAUAUUAUUUUUGCACUAAUAAAUGGUGUUUGAUAAGACCAACUUAUAGGCCUCUUUUAACUUAUCAUUGCGUUUGAUAAAUAAUGUUUACAAGUUAAAAUCAGUCAAAAAUCUGUAAGUUGGAUUAUCUAUUUAUCGGGUUUUUAGCAUACUAAUUUUUAUGUACGUGCGUUGCACAUAAAUUUUAGUCAAUUAUUUAUAUAAUACAACAAAUUAAAUUUAUGAUGGUUUAAAUAUUUAUUUAUAUGAAGGAAUAACAAAAUUUAAUUAAUGAGAGAAAUUUUAUAUAUAAUAAUACAACAAUCAUCUAAAUGCCAAAAAAUAUUGUUACAUUAGCAUAAUACGUGAAUUCAAAAUGAAAGGACAUAAUCAGAACUUACAUAAAUGAUUAAUUUUAGUCAUGUUAGGUAGAUAAUUAUGUAUUGUAGUUUAAAGGUAUCUAAUGUGAUGGUAUCUUACCGAACAUUUCUUUAUAAAAGAUGUUAUUUUGUAUAUAUUUCCUUCUAUUACUUUGGUUGCUCCAGUUCGAGUCACCCCAAGAGCAAGGUGGAGAGUUCUUGGAGGGAGGGAGCCGAGGGUCUAUCGGAAACAGUCUCUCUACCCCAGGGUAGGGGUAAGGUCUGCGUACACCUACCCUCCCCAGACCCCACUAGUGAGAUUAUACUGGGUUGUUAUUGUUGUUGUUGGUUUGGUUGCUCUGCCAUAACCAGAACUCUUGUUGUCGAUAUUGAUAUCUCUCUUGAAAAUAUAACAUAUAGUUAUUCGUGUAAGAAAAUAUAUUAUUAUAAAUAUAGUUCAAUAUUUAGGAUGUUUGUCCUUGUGCUUUAUUUGUUAUAACUACAAAACAUAAACACACUAAAAAUUAUUUUAAUAUAAAUUUAAAAGGAUAUUCUUUAGUUUUGGAAGACGAAAGUGAAUUCGGGGAUAAAUACAUACUUAGAAGUAUAUUGACCAUUAUCAUUAGUUCUGCAUAUGUGACGUUAUUGUCAAAACUUCUAUAUACCAUUAUGUGUACUAUUACCUAAGUUACUCAGCGGAUCUAAGUUUUCAGUAGCAUAGCGGGUAUAUUUUUCCUCAAAAUCAACCUAUAUGCAAUAAAAGAUCAAUUUUAACUUAGUCUACUAUAUAUAUGGUGGCACUAAUAUACGUAAAAAAUAAUGAACUUGACAACAAACAUGUACGGUAGAAAGCCAUUUGGUAUUAAAUUAUUUAAGUUUUCUUCUUGGUAGUAAUUGUUGGUAUCAUCUUUUGCUGAGUCAAAACUAAAAAAUAUUUUAUUUUUACCAUAAAACUGAAUAUUUUUCAUUUGAGGACAUAAGUAUAAUUUUGGCAAGCUAGCUUUUACAGUUUCUGCUUUCGUCAAUUUUGGAGCUAUUGAUCGUACAUGAUAGAAAUCACCUCCCAAACUAUUAUUUUUUUACCAAACAGUUCAUUAAUAUCCAAUAUAUCUCUAAAACUCUGGGCGAUUAUUUUGAUCGUUUGACGCUUAGCCAAAAGCGCUUCAUCCCAUAUUAUGACUUUUGUUUUCCUUAUAAAUUUAGCAUUAUUGCUCUGUUUUGAUAUAUUUGUGAUGGUUAUGUAACGACCCAACUUUUUAUUUUGAGAAGUUACGUUCCGUUCAGCGACUUAAGGUCCCGAGCAAUUUCGUAAUAUGUAUUAUGACCCGCAUGUGUUGUCGAGUUUGGUUUUCAGAAGAUUUGAAGUUUAAUUGGAAGAACAAUUUCUCAUUUUUGAAGCCUAAAUGAAAAGAGCUGAUCGGAGUUUGACUUUUGGGCAAAUGACUCCGGAAUGGAGUUUUGAUGAUGUCAAGAGUUUUGUAUAGUGAUUUCGGACUUAGGCAUAUGUUCAGAUUUGGAUUUGGAAGUCCGUAGGACAAUUCGGCACAUUUCGGCAAAAAGUUGGAAAAUGUACUUGAAAUAUUCAUAAAUUCGACCGUAAGUCGAUUUAUUGAUAACGAGGUCGGAUUUCGAUUCCGAGAAUUGAAACAGCUCCAUUAUGCCGUUUAUGACUUGUGUACAAAAUAUGAAGUCAUUCCGGAUUGAUUUGUUACGUUUCGGCGCAAAAUAUAGAAGUUGGAAGAUUUGAAAACUCAUAAUUCGAUUCGAGACGCGAUUCACAAUUUCGGCGUUGUUUGACGUAGUUGAGGCCUCGACUAAAUUCAUAUUGUAGUUUAAUACGUGUUGGUUUAUUUGGUUAAGGUCCCGGGUAACUCGGAUGAGUUUCGGGCGAGGUUCAGAUCGAAAUUGGACUUAUUGAAGCUGUUGGAAAUCUGUUGCUGGUGUUUUCGCUUCUGCGGGAAGCUUCAUCGUAGAAGCGAGAUGAAGCUCACAUAAGCGAAAUUGGGAAGGAAUGCUGGACUGGACGGAGGUCGCAGGUGCAAAGAAUUUUCCGCACCUGCGGGAUCGCAGAAGCGGGUGAAAGGAAUGCAGGAGUGGGCAUCAACGCAGAAGCGCAACUCCAGCCGUACCUGCAGUUGCACAGAAGCAGAGCCUUGUCCGCAGGUGCGUGGUUUCGGUUGGCAGUGGUCUGUCGCAGAAGCGAGAUUGGUCUCGCAAAAGCGAGGUCGCAAAUGCGACCAAUUGUUCCGCAGAAACGGAACUGGGCAGAAUCAUAAAGACCAAACAUGGUCAUUUUGUCAUUUUUCGAUUGGGAUUUUUGGAGCUCAGUUUUGGGCAAUUAUGGAGGGAUUUUUCACAAGCUUGGUUGGGGUAAGUGUUCUAUAUCCGAAAGUGACUACAUUCCAUGAAUUUAUGGUUAUAUUCAUCGUUUAAUUCGAGUUUUAAAGGAGGAAAUUGGGAUUUUUUGUAAAAUUUUUCAAAGACGGAAAUUCAAGAUUUGGAAGACGAUUUGUUAUUGGAAUUCGAUAAAAUUGGUAUGGUUGGACUCGUAUCGGAAUGGGUAUUCGGAUUUCGUAAAAAUUUUGUUGGGUUCAGAGAGGCAAGCCCCGCGUUGACUUUUGAUUGACUUUUUAAUGUUAAAUUUUAAGUCGAUGUUUUAUUAUCCAAAAUUAUUUUCGAUGAAUUUUAAUGAAGUUACACAAUUAAUUUGGUUAGAUUUGAGCUACCUGGAGGUCAAUUCAAGAAAGAAAGCUAUUAUGGAAUAUCGGUCUAACUUCAAAGAGGUAAGUAUCUUGCCUAAUCUUGUGUGAGGGAAUUACCCCUUAGGCAUUGAGUCGUAUGUGCCAUUUGAGUAAUGUGAAAGCCGUGUACGUGAGGUGACGAGUACGUACUCGGGCUUAUAUGUGCAAAUUGUGUUGGUUUAAAGUCGUAGGAAUUCUUAAGUAUUAAAUUGGAAAUCUGCUGGCGCUUAUUAAAUCCUUAUUUGUCAUGCCUCGUUCUUUGUUUGUCGAAUUUGUUUUAUAUGCUAAUUUGAUGUGAUUGCUACUUUGAUCCUUAUAUGGAUUCCGUGUGCUGGUUGAGUUGACAUUUUCUGAAAAUAAUUAUAUUUUGGAUUUUUCAUCUGCAAAUAAUUAUUAAAUAAGUUUAAAUGGAGAUGUUAAUAUAUUUAUCAGAAAUUUGGAUUUAAGAAGAGGUUGCUCUUGUUGAGUUAUUCUUCCGUCUUUGCUAUUGCAUAUUUAUUUUGGGACUAUGAGGCGGUAUCUCGGGAGAUCCCCCUUGUACUGCAUAUUUACUUUGGGACUACGAGGCGUUUACUUGGGAGAUCCCCCUGUACUGCAUAUUUACUUUGGGACUACUAGGCGUUUACUCGGACGAUUCUCCCUGUAUUGCAUAUUUACUUUGGACUACGAGGCGAUUACUCGGGAGAUCCCCUAUGUACUGCAUAUUUACUUUGGGACUACGAGGCGUUUACUUGGGAGAUUCUCUUGUACUGCAUAUUUACUUUGGGACUAUGAGGCGGUACCUCGGGAGAUCCCCUUGUCUUGCAAGAUCCCCCUUUUCUUGCAUAUUUAUUUUAGGACUACGAGGCGGUACCUCGGGAUAUCCCCCAGUCGAGCAUCCAGAUGGCACUGUAUGAGGCUCUGUAUGGUAGGCGGUGUAGGUCUCCAGCUGGUUGGUUCGAGCCGGGCGAGGCUAUAUUAUUGGGCACAGACUUGGUUCAUGAUGCUUUGGAGAAGGUUAGGGUAAUUCAGCAUAGACUACGCACAACCCAGUCCAGGCAGAAGAGUUAUGCGGAUCGGAAGGUUCGCGAUACUGCAUUUAUGGUUGGGGAGCAGGUAUUGCUCCGGGUGUCACCCAUAAAGGGUGUUAUGAGGUUCAGAAAGAAGGGCAAGAUGAGCCCGAGGUUUAUCGAUCCAUUUGAGGUAUUGCGACGUGUUGGGGAGGUUUCUUAUGAGCUUUCCUUGCCUCCCAGUCUAACAGGAGUUCAUCCAGUAUGCCAUGUUUUUAUGCUCCGGAAGUAUCACGGCGAUCCGUCUUGCAUAUUGGAUUUCAUCUCAGUCCAGUUGGAUAAGGAUUUAUCUUAAGUUGAGGAGCUGGUGGCAAUCUUAGAUAGGUAGGUUCGAAAGCAGAGGUCGAAGAGUAUUGCUUCUGUGAAGGUUCAGUGGAGGGGUCAGCCGGUCGAGGAGGCGAUUUGUGAGACCGAGCAUGAUAUGCGCAGACGUUAUUCUUCAAGUAUGUCUCUAUGCUCGUUCGAGGACGAACGAUUGUUUUAAGAGGGGGAAAUGUAACGACCCGGCCGAGGUCUUGUUUUUGGUUUCAGAGUGUUUUGGGACACUUAGUCCCUAAAAUGGAAGCUUAAGUCUCAGGAUUUUUACCGUAGUCAGAAGUGUGUGAAGACGACUAUGGAAUGGAGUUCCGUCGGUUCCGUUAGCUCCGUUGGGUGAUUUUGGACUUAGGAGCGUGUCCAGACUGUGAAUUUGAGGUAUGUAGCUAAUUUAGGCUUGAAAUGGCGAAAGUCGAAUUUUUGGGAAGUUUGACCAGGGGUUGACUUUUUGAUAUCGGGUUCAGAUUCCGAUUCCGGAAGUUGGAGUAGUUCUGUAAUGUUGAAUAUGAUUUGUCUGCAAAAUUUGGGGUCAAUCGGACGUGGUUUGAUAGGUUUCGGCAUCGGUUGUGGAAAUUUGAAGUUUCUAGUUUUUUAAGAUUGAAUUGGAGGGCGAUUCGUGAUAUUUAGCAUUGUUUGAUGUAGUUUGAGGGCUCGACUAAGUUCGUAUGGUAUUUUAGGACUUAUAGGUAUGUUUGGUUGAGGUCCCGGGGGCUUCGGGUUGAUUUCGAUUGAUUAACGGACCAUUUUGGACUUAAGGAAGAUAACAGAUUUUCUGGUAUUUUGUUGCAGACCUUUUCUUCAUCGCGUUCGCGAGCGAGGUCUCACGAUCGCGUAAGGCAACCUGAGAGGCUAGCUAAAGUUGUUAUUCGCGUUGGUUGUACUCAUGCUACACCCUGCACUUCAUGUGCAGAUCUAGGUGUGUACAGUUCUGGCAGUCGCUAAGUUCAUGCGCGGGCUGAUUAUCGGAGACUUACGAGGUAGUUGCCAGCGUCCGCAGUCCUUUUUUCUACUUUCUUAUUAUCCUUUCUCUCUUGUAUUGGCAUUUAGCACAGACUAUAGUAAACUCUGUUUCUAGAUUGGUUGUUGGAUGCUCAUGACUCAGUGACACCCCGAUGUCGGGCUAUUUAUUUUUCCGCACUUAUGUUUUAUUUGGGUUUUACCCCGUUUCUAUGAAAGACUCCGGUUAUUUUAAAUGUCUUUAUUGAUUUCUGUGAAAUUUUGAAAGUAUUUUGGAAAGGUCGGCUUGCCUAGUAUGCCAUCACGACAGGUAGGUUUUGGGUCGUGACAACUAGUUGAUUAUCGUUGCUACCACUGCUAUAUAUUUUUUAUUAUUUUUUGUAUGCUGACCACAAGGAUUCAAGGUAGAGUUGCUUGGUCGUCGCAAUCCCUUGGAGUCUUUCUAUUUUAUUAUAUUGUCAACUCUUAUUCGAACAAUAUUGUAUAUUCGAUCUUUGAGAUCAUUGUAUGUGUUCAGUUAGAGUUCGUGACUCAAUAUUAUUAGUCUUGGGAGGUUGUUAUAUUUUUUUUCGCUGUUUUGACACUUGUAUUAAAUUAUAUGUUUAAAAAAAAAAGUCUCAAAAUAUAAUUGAAAUCGGCUUACCUAGUCUUAGAGACUAAGUGCCAUCACGACGCCUGUGGUGGGAUUUUGGGUUGUGACAGGUUAUUUCAUUUAUUUGAAAACGUAUAUCAAAUCUAAAAUGAGUUGUGCGGCCUCAUAAUAAUAUCGUUGAUGGUACACCACUUGUUCUUAUUGCUAAUAAUAUUAUGCCUCUUGAUUUGACAUUUGCAAGUAAUGCAUAUUAUUUGAAUUCCGCCGGAGGCAUCUACAAAGGACAAUCCCGCUAUACCAGAGUCGACUUUUUAUAAUAUAGUCUUGAAAGCUUAUUCUUGUUCAGGAUUUAGCUUUGAUUGUGCUUCCUCAAACACCUAUAUAGCCUUCUUAAUAUUAUACUAAUUUGUUUUGCUUUGUGAUCUAAUUUUUUAAAUCUCUAACACUCUUUUUAUGGAAUAAAUUUAUGUACCUUAAGAUUUUCUUUUAACUUGAAUAAUAAUUUUACUCAUAUGAUGAAUUUAAAAAUAAUUUAAUUGGAUUUUCUUGCUAAAUAAUUAAUUGAAAGAUUUGAUUAUUUGGUUUUAACAUAAAAAAUAAUUUAUUUUCGGUUGAUUAAGAUUCUUAAUAUUAGUUCAUCUCUUGUUUGAAUAUUUAAUGGUAAUUAUAAUCUUAUCCACCAUAAAUUUUAUUUUCAAAGAGAAAAAAGAUAUAUCUAACAUUUCACUUUUAGAUCUUUAUGUUUGCAAAAUCAUUAGUGGUAUUGACUUUUACCAACUUUUUUCUUUCUCUUUCUCACACAUUUAUGUUCUUAAAAAUUUCUUAGUUGUUCUUUAAUAAUUGAGUAUAUUUUUCUAUAUUACAUGAAAAAUUAAUAAUAAAAAGAAUAUUAUUUGAGUAGGAAUGCAGUUCAAAUAUAAUAUAAUAAUAUAUUAUCGUGGGGAUUUUGUUCUUAAGUUCAAUGAUUUAUGCAAUUCGUUUUGGUAUUGGAUAUUAUAAAGUGGUAAUGUAUUACCAAUAUGGAGAAUUCUUAUGAAAUUGAUUUUGUUAACUAAUCACGCCCAACUCUAGUCCUAAAAAGGAUAAGCGGUCGCUGCAAAUAUAAUCCGGUCCAAAAGUUCGGAGUCGAAUCCCACAGAGAACUAAGAUUUCACUAUAACUGUCCAAUAUCACUAAAAAGAUAAGUUCGAACAAUUUCAAAGUUAUAAAUAUUAAGAUUCUUAUGUCUAACUAAUUAAAGUAGUAAAUUAAUAAAUAUGGAUACUAAGGUUUGGAUACAAAAUUGAAAAAGCCUAAAGUUAUGAUUUCUCCAAUUGUCGGAAUCCUUCCCGCUACAUCUCCUACAAUUUCGCCUAAGUUUUAUCUAUUGAUCACGAGCACUCGACUUAUCGUAAUUCUCUCUCGAGCAACUAUAAUAAUUUACUAGUCAUAUUCUCUCGAAUUACGCUAGCUCGCACUUUUUUACUGCCCAGUAUGAUCACGUCAAAGCUUCGUUAUCUCUAAUCCCGCUUUUUAACCCCCCGUAUUGAUCUCUCAUAUACCUUGGGAGUGACGUUGUUCGACAACGACCUAAAUAUGCACUCUUUCUCAAGUAAUACAUAAUAAAUAGGCACAGUCAAUUGAUGGUCAUUCAAUCAACAACAACAAAGACGUAGUUGAACAAGUAGGGAUAUUCAAAGGCAAAAUUAUAUUAAAACGUAACAAGAAUCCAUCGUUCAAUAGCUUCCACCAUACCCUAGAUGAGAAAGUUUAGCUACUCAUUGCGAGCACCUAAUUUUUGACCAUACUUGAAUUUUUAUCACAUUUUAGUAUGUAAAUAUUUUUCGAGUUUAAUCUACAUAUUUUAGCCUUUGUUUUAUUUUACUUUUUAGUAGGUUUAGUUGACAAAAUUGAAAACCACAAUAAUAUUUUACAUUUUAGCUAAUUGAGUAGUAGUUAGAUUUUUUAAAUAAAUUUUUUUAUUUUAAUGUCCCAUUAGUUUAGAUAAUUAACAAUUUUGUUUCAUCUUCAAAAGAAUAGAAUUGAAAACAAACAAAAAAGAGAAGAAGAAAACAGAAAGAAAAAUGGGAAAGAGCAAAAGAAAAGUCGAAGAGGAGAGAAAAGAAGGUUCAAAUAGGUCCCACCACUUAAAUUGAUUUUUCUCCAUAUUCCCACUCAAAAUAUCACGUGCUUACUGGCACAUAAUUUUAUUCUUCUCUAUCACAAAUUUUUUCUCUAGUGGGACCACAGACACACACAACUCACACUCACCCGUCUCCUUCCAACUCAAUUUUCUCUCCCUCAUCUCUCUUAUAAAACAGAACACAAAAAGAAAAAAAAGGGGGGGGGGAUCAGCCAAGAAAUCCCAUUGAAACCAGCUGAAAAAUGCAUCAAAACUCAGCCACUAAACAGCCCUAAAAUCACUCUGAAAACAGUCUGAAAUCACUCCCUAAAACAGUCCAAAAAGCGUAAAAAAAAUAGCCCAAAAAAGAGCUGAAAACCUCCACCAAACAACUCCGAAAACAGUCUCGAAAUACACCCAGAAAUAGCCUUAUCUCUGUCGUAAUUAUACCAUCUUCAACCAGCUCCUUUUCCUCUAACAAACAGCUGCAAAACCGUCUUGAAACCAGUCCCAAACCCAGCCAGUAACGACCCUCAUUUUUGUUUCCAAAACGACACCACAGAUUCCUAAAAAACGACAUGAAGACGUACAUGUCGCAACUAAGGUUCCUUCGGCUUCCGUCGCUCGUGGUUUGCUAUUAAGGGGGACCCAGUCUCAACUAUUAUAGAUCUCAUUUAGCGAAUAAACAUUGGAGGUCCAUUUCUUGACCUUACUUUGUAUUUUUAUUUUGUGUUGGAGAUAUAAAAAUUUAUGUUUCGUUCAUAUUAUUUUUUUUAGACAAACUAUGAAUGCAUCUUGAUUUUUCUCGAGUGCAUUGACUGUUGGAUACUUUGUUAUUCUUUAUUUCUUUGCCUACUGUGUUAGCAUUGAACUUGCUUCAGUAGUUUCCUUUUUGCUUAAGAGCUUUAUUGGUAGUUUGGACCUGGGUUUGAUUGAUAAUGGGCUGGAUUAUAAAAUGGACUAUUAGCUAAGAUAUUUGAGCCAUGGGGUGGUAAGAACUUGGUUAUUUAGAGUUUAAAUGGGGGC